GGGGUCGUCGGCUAGUCUGGUCCAGGCUUCAAGCCUCGGGCGCUUGAGAUCCAGGGUUCAAAUCCCUGCGACCCCACCA
rnacentral:tRNA from 1 species